GGGCGUACAUAAGUUCCUAGGCUGGGGAUUGAUUUCCUUAAAACACUCACAAUCUCCUGGGCAUCUCUCCAGAGAAAACCAUGACUUGAAAAUAUAGAUGUGCUCCAGAGUUCACUGCAGUACUAUAUACAGUAGCCAAGACAUGGAAACAACCUAAAUGUCCAUCAACAGAGGAGUGGAUCAAGAAGAUGUGGUACAUAUACACAAUGGAAUAUUACUCAGCCAUUAAAAGGAAAUAAUGGCAUUUGCAGCAACAUGGCUGGACCUGGAGAUUGUCAUGCUAAGUGAAGUCAGUCAAGACAGUGAGAUACCAACAUCAUAUGCUAUCACUUGUGAAAUUAAAAAAAAGGACAGAAUGACCUUCUUUGCAGAGCAGAUACUGACUCACAGACUUUGAAAAACUUAUGGUCUCCAAAUGAGACAGGUUGGGGGGUGGAGGGGUGCGCUGGGGGUUUGGGAUAGAAAUGCUGUACAAUCGUGUUGUGAUGAUCGUUGUACAGAUAUAAAUCUAAUAAAAUUCAUUGAGUGACUUAAAAUAAUUUAAAAAAAUAAAAGGGGAAAAAAAAAAAAAACCCACCCACAAUCUCCUAAAGUAACUUUGGGCAGUUUUGGUUGCUAAAAUUCUUUCUUACUUUGGGGUAAAAUCUAUCCACUAUGUGGAUAUAUCUAUCAAAGUUUAAAAUUCACAAAGCCUUUGACCAGCAAUUCCACUUUUAAUAAUUUAUCCUACAGAUACAGCCCUCAGGGGCUCAAAGACAUGUGUGCAAACAUUUUCAUUGCGGCAGAGGGCUGUAAACAAUUUAAAUUUUUAACCAGGGGACUGAUUAAACAAGUUAUGGAAUGUCUGUUCUGUGGACUGUCAGGCAGCUGUCGAACAAUUAAACCAUCCUCACACACUGACAGGGGACAGUCCGUACACUGGCUUUUCCAGCCCUGGUUAUGGUAAUGACGGAGAGAAAGGGGUUGGCUCAGUAACACUUAGGACAUUCAUAUAAUCGAAAAGAAGGACACACAUCAACAGAAGGAUAUCGGCACUUGUGGUGGCCUCUGGGAGAGGAAACUGAGACUGGGUGUCAGGGGUGCAAGGGAGAAUUUUAUGUAUGUAUGUGUAUGACUAUAUGUAUAGUAGGCAUAUACAUGUGUUUGUAUAUGUAUUUUUUCUUUUGCAUUUUUUUUUAAAUGUAUCACGUUAAAAACUUUAAAAAUGUGCCUUCAGGCAACAAAAGCAAAGUAAACAAAUGGGACUACAUUAGACUUAAGAGCUUCUGUGCAUCAAAGAAAGUAAUCAACAGUGAUAAGGCAGCCUACAGAAUGGGAGAAAAAUAUUUGCAAAUCAUGUGUCUGAUAACAGAUUAAUAUACAGAAUAUAUAAAGAACUUCUACAAAUCAACAGAAGCAACAAAAAUUAACUUUUUAAAAAAAUUGUGUACGUUAUUCAUUGAUUUGGCUGCACCUUUACCCUCCUUACGGCCUUUGGGGGUAGGCAUUUCUGGAAGAGGAGGUCUCGGUCAGAAGAGCAGAAUUUGCAUUGGUCCCUCUAGGUCCUUCCUGGUGGACCCCUUCCGCUCUGCAGUCUGCCUUUGAUGUCACGUAAAAACAAACCAAAAAACAAGCAAAACAAAACCCAGACCGAAGAGACCAUUCGCUAAAUUGUCCCAAGUCAUAAUUUUGACAGACUGAGAAAGUUUUUUUUCCUUUGUUUUGGCUGCAUCCACGGCAUGCAGAAGUUCCUCAGGCCAGGGAUCAAACCCGGGCCACAGCAGCAUCCCAAGCCACUGCAGUGGCAAUGCUGGAUCCCUAACCCACUGUGCCACAGGAGAACUCCUUGAAUAGUGCGCAUCUGUGAGGGCCGAGGUCAUGUGUGGGGUGCCCCUGGGUAGGGUCCUCAGUGACCUGGCAGAGCUGGGAAGGCCUGAGCCGGCCUCCACCCAAGGGUAAGAGAGCAGUAAAACUUCCACUGCGGGGAGAGAGCGCCCCUCCCCACCCCUCCUUGGCUGCAUCGGAGGACCAGGUAUCCCUGCGGAAAUCCUCAGGCUGUGCCAGGGCCCCUGCACAGGGCCCAGGGGAUCCCUCUCCUGCAGGGGCUGGGAACGGGAAGUGGCACCUGAGGGGGAGGGAAGAGGGUCCCUGGCAGCCGGGAAAGCACAUGUCCCCCCCAGGCCUCCCAGCCAGCCCGCGCCGAGGCCGCGCGUUGGACUCCGCUAACUUUAUUUUCCCCUUUUAGGCCGCUCGCCCUGGCCAUUGUAACCUAAUUUCAUCAGGAUAAACAAGUUAGGGAAGCAGGAGGAAGAGGCACAUAGGAAAAUUUCCUUGCAGUCUGGAGCAUCAGGGGCCCCCAGGGAAUGAAAAAAAGGGGCUUCUCUUCUUGUCCAUAGAAAAAGACCUUUUUACUCCAGAAGACUCUGGUGUUGUAAACGCUGGGCCGGGAGAAGGGAGGCGGGAGAGGAAGGUGGAGGGCUUUCUGCGGGAAGUGGGCUUUCCGGUCUCUCACUGAUCUAGGCGCUGGCAGUGAUACUUGACAUAUUUAACAAGCAAGCCUGACCAAUCAGGGCUGUCACCCGCGGUGGGGCCUCCGUGUGCCAGCUCCUGGAGGCCCCCUGCUGGGCCGUAUGUUCCCCUUUGGUUGCAGGGUGGUGGGAGGUGUGGGGGACCGAGGGGAGGGGCCGGGCUGUGGCUGUUUACCAACCGGUGUGAAGUGUUUCCACACGAACGCGGGGUGCGGCUGCGGCGUUUCACAGCAAGUGGCAUGCGGGCGAGAGCUGCCGUCCUCGUCGCCUCAAACUCCCUGGAUGCUGAUUCCCAAUCGCUCGGCAGCAGAGCCUCACCCAGUUCACGGGCAGAACUGCAGGUGUUUGUUCUCCCCCCGCCCGGGGCAGAGCGGGCAGUGCCCGGAUGUCCCCCGGGAGCAGUGGGUGCCUCCUGGCCUGCAGGGGCUUGGGCGGAGGUCUGACAUGUGAGGAGCAGGUAGCUCGUGCUCU
rnacentral:lncRNA from 1 species